UGGUGAUAGUGUCCAUGAUGGCGAGACCUGAAGAGGAGAUACAAGAAGGGACAUAAACACGCUAUGUUGAGACAUUGUGUAUGUCCCUUGCUAUCCCUCAUCUAAGGGUUUUUCGCUAUGGACCUUCAUGAUGUUUCCUUCGGUCCUUUAGCUCUGGGUUCCAGAGUCUCUUCUCCAGUUGGCUUGGGGGCCUGUUGGUGACAGUCCUGAAGAAAAUGUCAGUGUAGCCCAGGAAGUGCUGGACGAGCACGACUACUUUUCUGCUGGGGCAACGUGGGAGGAGAGUCAGGGACCGUCCACGUUUCAAGCACCUUAUGUCACAGGGGAUGAAGAGGAUACUCCGCUGUCAGCACCACCCGCUAUGGCACGUCGCGGCAGAAAGAGGAAAGCGGCGGCGCCUGAUAUGGAAGACGUCCCUGUGUGGCCUCCGAGCACCAGCCUCACUUGAAAAGUACUCUGCAAAGACGCUCCUCACGUACGCGGCCUCACGAGAGAAACGCCUUGCGAGAGUAGCAGUGAGGUCCCCCAGUGCACAUGCUGUAUUUCUGGCGAGCACUUGCCUCCACUCCACCAGCAUUGCAGCGUCGAUCUGCAAAGCCUUUAAAGGCAUUCCGGCACCACUGAAGAGCUUGCACUCCAUGUCUCAACUAUCACCGUCGGGGUUUCAAGCUGAAGGCUGUCACCAGUGCCAACCAGACGCCACUUCAAAGUUCAUCUGUAUUUGCUGACGGAACAGUGACGCCUGGUAAACCUGUCCCGCAGAUGCCCUGCCCCUUGGUACGCAGAGUUCAAGUAGGUACCGAAACAAUCCACCUGGAGCAUUAUUUUUUCAAUUGGCAGUGGCAUUACUGUCACAACACACCACACACUACAUGUCUAAGGUGUGUGUACAAUGCAUCAAACCUAUUCUCAGAUACAGGCGAGCUGGUACGCAAUUACAACAUGAAACAACUGACACAGAGAUCGUAAAGUCAUGCCAUUUCCUCUGCGCCUCGGGUUUCAUGUUGUUAUCCUCACAUGCAGCUCCUUUCGCCAUUGCUGUGCAGCAUAAGCAAAAGCACAUAUUGUUUUUGGUCACGUGACACGGGACAUAAAUAUAGUGAAACCUUCAUAUGUUGGACACCUGCGGUGCAGCCGAAGCGUGUCCUACUUAUAGAGGUGUCCGAGUUACAGAAUAUGACGGAAACAAAAGAUGGAAAAGAUCACAGCUGUGUUCCCAGAAAUGUCCCCAGAAAUGUCCCCCUUCUUCAAUUUAUGGUCCUUAGUGGUGCCUGGUGGUGGUGCCGGGUAGUUUUAUCUCUACCCACUCUUUACUGAUAAUUAUUACUGAUUUUAGUAGAUUCAAUUCCGUUCAGAUUCCACUCUGUGGCAUUACCUCUGGAGCUUUUCGAGCAGCGAGGACUUGUCUCUGAAGGGUCAGCCCAUUUUUCAUUGCUUUGGUGCAGUGCGCGUUCAAAUGCUCUAGACAAACCAAAGACAAGUGCUCACAUAAAGAAUUACAAUGUAGACUGACAGCACUUGUUUUUGAACUCGAAAAACUAUAGACCAGUAUAGGGGAAAAAAGGGCGAAAGUCAAGGCCACUUGCUCAUCUUGGGUCUUUUUGGUGCAAAGAUGGGACGAUAUUGAGGUAAUUUGGCCAGGGUUUUGUCCGACUUAGCAGGGAAAACCUUGUCCUACUUCCGAGAUAAGGAGGUGUCCGACAUAGAGAAUU